CACGUAGGGCGCAAGCGUUGUCCGGAAUUAUUGGGCGUAAAGAGCUCGUAGGCGGUCUGUUGCGUCUGCUGUGAAAACCCGGGGCUUAACCCCUGGCUUGCAGUGGAUACGGACAGACUAGAGGUAGGUAGGGGAGAAUGGAAUUCCCGGUGUAGCGGUGAAAUGCGCAGAUAUCGGGAGGAACACCGGUGGCGAAGGCGGUUCUCUGGGCCUGUACUGACGCUGAGGAGCGAAAGCGUGGGGAGCGAACAGG
rnacentral:rRNA from 1 species